rnacentral:lncRNA from 1 species
GGCAGGGUGCCGGGUACCACCUGAGCCUCCGGUCUUUGCUCUUGAGGCAGAGGCUGGAGGUGGGUGGCACCUGCUGGUAUGGCAGCAUCUGCUGCCCGGUUCAGAGUCAGAGCCCGGCCUCCACCCAGAUUGUGAAAAAAAAAUGGCAACACUUAACUAUUUCUGUGGAAAAAGACAAGAGUCCUCCAUAGGAUCACUAGAGUCACACACCCUUUGUGAACUCAGCUCCCAGAGCAAAAGGUUCUGCUUGCCUAGAAGUUUUGGUUCCAGAAAGGGGAGUGCUCUUACCAGCAGCCACAACAAACAUUCUAUUGAGCUAGAAGCUCAGACUUCCCCCUGGGCAUUUUGGGCUUCUAUGUCCUUAAACCAACAGGAUAAGAAAGGAAUAUCAGUGUUAGGAGGGGUGAUAGAUCCAGAUUACCAUGGGGAAAUUGGACUGCCUCUCCACAACGGAGGUCUCGCUAUAGAAGCUGAGCCAACUUCCAACUUGGAUCCUCUUGCCUAGCCUCCCCAGUGCUGGAAUUGAUUAUAAGCAAACACUACUACAAAUGGUUCAAAACUUAAAGAAUGGACACCAAUUUGCUUUAUAUUAAUCUUCAUCAUAAAA